rnacentral:rRNA from 1 species
CCUACGGGUGGCAGCAGUGGGGAAUAUUGGGCAAUGGGCGCAAGCCUGAACCAGCAACGCCGCGUGAAGGAAGACGGCUUUCGGGUUGUAAACUUCUUUUGUCAGGGACGAAGCAAGUGACGGUACCUGACGAAUAAGCCACGGCUAACUACGUGCCAGCAGCCGCGGCAAUACGUCGGUGGCAAGCGUUAUCCGGAUUUACUGGGUGUAAAGGGCGGGUAGGCGGGGAAGUAAGUCAGAGGUGAAAACCACGGGCUCAACCUGUGGCCUGCAUUUGAAACUGUUGUUCUUGAGUGCUGGAGAGGUAAUCGGAAUGCGGGGUGUAGCGGUGAAAUGCGUAGAUAUUAGGAAGAACACCAGUGGCGAAGGCGGCCUACUGGACGGUGACUGACGCUGAGGCUCGAAAGCGUGGGGAGCAAACAGGAUUAGAUACCCGGGUAGUC